rnacentral:lncRNA from 1 species
CAUAUUUGUCUACCCUCAAUAAGGCGGCCUCCUCCACCACAAAUCGCCAUAACUACUUCUCCAAUAAACUCUAUUAAACACCUUGAGAUCUUUUACCCCUAGACAACCCCACUUCGUUGGGAACAGCCUCCCAAUUAACUAAGUGAAUCUUGCUAGCACCAUCUGUCGCACCCAUAAAAAGUUUCUUGAAGUCUUUCCAGUUUUUCAGUAACGUUCACUUGUGCUUGCAACAAAGACAAGUAGUAGGUAAGAAUGCUCUAUAAAGUGCUUACUAUGAAUACAUAGACAAAAAAUAUAUCGAUUACACCCCCACUUAAAGAGUGAUAUUCACUCUUCUCACUCUCAAGGACGGCAACACAAGCUUACGAAAACCGUGCACCUGUGUACGCAUUUUGGAGGCACCAUCUCUUUUAAGAGGACUUACAAGGCCCUCAAAAUCUUGAUGCACAUAAUAGUCUACUCUUUAGGAUCUGGUUAAGAAUUACGAAAUUAUUAAUAUGGCAAUAUCACAUUCCUUAAAUAUAUUGGAAAGGUAUAAAGUCUUAAUUGUAUAAUUAGAAACAAGAAUUACUUUAUCUUACCUUUUUAGGAUUACUUGUAAACAC